rnacentral:hammerhead_ribozyme from 1 species
AUCCAACUGACGAGUCCCGAAUGGAACAAAACGCGCGUUCUGAAU